UUUAGUGUAUGUUGUGCCUGAUCCUUGAACCCAGUAGAUGGUGGUACUACAGCUAUACUGGUUGUAGCCACUGUGGUUCCUGUAACUGAUGGGUUGCUGGUUCAAACUUCCCACAUGUAACCCAAGUGUCCGCCAUGACCCAAUCACCUUCCCUUUAAGUUGAUUGUCAUGUGUGCUUCCGGGUUUUGUUUUUUCUUCCCCACCUUGCUGCUACUCACUGUUGGUUGUUUGUAAAACAACCUGGAGUUUCUGAAUCGACUCAUCACUCAUUUAAUCUCUAAAACUUGAAGAUUGCGGUUGUGAUCCAUUGACAGCUGGUGAACCUUCCUGAUCUGAGCAAGUUAUCAUUGCAUCCACCUCAUCAGAUAAUCCGUUACUCGACGGUCAGGUUUUUCCCCCUUCCCCUUGCAUUGACUCACUUGAUGACGGAAGAUGGCGAGCUACCCACCCACCAUCUGGUGGUAGGAAAACGGAACUACACUUUCCCUACAGAAACGAACUAAACUCUGAGUAUUGAAAAGGGAACAUAAUUAUUCUCUUUUUGUUCUUGGAUCUAUUGUGGACUCUAUUACGUUUGAAGUAUCAAUGAUUAUUAUUAUAAUUGUUUUUGUUGGUUAGUUUUUUUCCCCUUCUGUUUUUGGAAAUUUAUUGUUUUGUUUUGGUAUUAUUAUUAUUAUUAUUAUUAUUAUUGCCACUGCAAUAAAUAGCAAUAUUAACAAACUUUACUUUUUUGUAUCAGUUGUAUUAAUUAUUCACCCCACUCAUGACUCCGUGCCGUACCUACUUCUGAUUAUACAAACUGGUUAACACUACACCUCGCAGUCAGAUCUGCUCAGUUGAGAAAGGCGCUACACACAUCCAUCUCAGUUGUUGAGUCCUUGAGCAAGGCACCAAACCUGCCUUGCCUGCUGUUAGUCAGAAGUCCGAUGGUGCCGAUUGUGUAGCAGCUUCUGUCAGUCUGCCCUAGGGCAGCUGGGCUACAAUGUAGCUUACCACCAUCAACAUGUAAAGCACUUUGGCAUCCUCUGCACUAGAUAAAUCGCUAUACAUACAUUUACCAUUGACUAAACACUUGCAUUUUGUCUUUUUGUUGUGUUUUGUGUUAAACUUGUCCUGUCUGACA